rnacentral:lncRNA from 1 species
GUUGUUUUUUUAUUUCGAUAUGACCUCUAUUUCUUCUAUUAGUUUAACAGAAAAAAAAAGGACAUUAACAAAAAUGUAUGCUUCUUCCGGAGGGAGAUUGUGAGCUUAAAUGAACGGUGACCCCAUUUUUUAUUUCAUUUUUCUUUUAAGUAUAUGAUAAAGUUCAUUUAUUAAAAAAAUAUAGCGAAAUCCUAUAUUAGAAAAAAAAAAUUGAUUUAUACCCAGGAGCCC